CUUGAACGCUGGCGGCAAGCCUAACACAUGCAAGUCGAACGAGUGGCGGACGGGUGAGUAAUGUAUGGGAACCUGCCUGAUGGAGGGGGAUAACUACUGGAAACGGUAGCUAAUAACGCAUACCAUCGGAGGUGCGAAGCUGGGAUUAGCUAGUAGGUGUGGUAAAGGCUCACCGAGGCGACGAUCCCUAGCUGGUCUUAGAGGAUGACCAGCCACACUGGAACUGAGACACGGUCCAGACUCCUACGGGAGGCAGCAGUAGGGAAUAUUGCACAAUGGGCGCAAGCCUGAUGCAGCCAGGCCGCGUGUAUGAAGAAGGCCUUCGGGUUGUAAAGUACUUUCAGCGGGGAGGCGUUACCCGCAGAAGAUGCACCGGCUAACUCCGUGCCAGCAGCCGCGGUAAUAC
rnacentral:rRNA from 1 species